GGGAAACAGCCCCAGGGCCUGGGAAAGGAGCCGCCCAGGCCUGUAGGGUCUGGAGGCUCC
rfam:Pelodiscus sinensis unplaced genomic scaffold scaffold52, whole genome shotgun sequence.